GAUAAACGCUGGCGGCGUGCUUAACACAUGCAAGUCGAACGAAGUUUUUCCUUCGGGAGAAACUUAGUGGCGGACGGGUGAGUAACGCGUGGGUAACCUGCCCUGUACAGGGGGACAACAGCUGGAAACGGCUGCUAAUACCGCAUAAGCCCUUAGCACUGCAUGGUGCAUAGGGAAAAGGAGCAAUCCGGUACAGGAUGGACCCGCGUCUGAUUAGCCAGUUGGCAGGGUAACGGCCUACCAAAGCGACGAUCAGUAGCCGAUCUGAGAGGAUGUACGGCCACAUUGGGACUGAGACACGGCCCAGACUCCUACGGGAGGCAGCAGUGGGGAAUAUUGCACAAUGGAGGAAACUCUGAUGCAGCGACGCCGCGUGAGUGAAGAAGUAUUUCGGUAUGUAAAGCUCUAUCAGCAGGGAAGAAAAUGACG
rnacentral:rRNA from 1 species